AUGUCCAACCCCUUUUCCAACCUUCUUCAAAGGCUCCCCACUGACUCUAUGGCAGAGAGUGCAAAGCCUUUAACAGGGGGCCUGUCUUCCUCUACCUCCCCCAGAUAUUGCUCCUAUCAGCACUAUAAUUCAAGAGUGGAAAGUCUUCUUGCUCAGCCCACCCCUCGUUCCAAACCUCCCUCACCACUCUGUGCUUCCCACAGCCACUUUCCUAAAUUAUCCAGUUCAGAGAGAACAGUACACAUGCUUGCCAUUUGUCCUCUUGCUGUGUGGAGGGCUUGUCUGAUUCUAAGAGGCAGAAGAGUUACCAGCCCUCCUUGCCUCAAACCUGGAAUCCCUGAUGUGGGGCCACGUCCAUGAAGAAGUACCAGGGACCACCAGCUGGACCUAAUUAAUGAUCCAGACACCAUCAGCUCUGAUCAGUCUCCUUGGCAAGACUGCACAUCCCUGAGCCAGAGUCUGCUGCUUAGUCAAGAGGGGGAGAUGUCCUAAUUUCAGUGUUUGGAAAUGUCUUCUUGGACAUUUUUAAGCCACUGAGUGCUCAGAUGAGCUCCUGCUGUUUUGUGCUGCCUCCCUGGACCAUGUGUGUCACAGCUGGAGCCUCUGCAGCAGUCCCACAGUCUAGAGCAUGAUGUGUCAUCAGCCUCCCUCAAUCCUGGUAUGCAUCUGCUGCUUUCUUGACAGUAGUACAGAGCUUCUCAAAUGUUUCCAUACAGUGGCUCAGAUGACUCCAGAGCAUUGAGAGUAUAGAACCUGGAAGCCUGGAAGUCCAGUCUAAAGCAACCAGCUCUAAAUCUGAAAACAUUUUAUGACUCCCUUCAUCUUAAACAUUUUUACAAAUUAAGUAUUUAAUUUUGUGUUUUUUGAUUAUUAAAUAUAGUAUUCCCCCCCC
rnacentral:lncRNA from 12 species